GAAUAUCCGAUAGAACAGUAGAUCCCCAUGAGAGAGAGAGAACAUCCACUUCCAAAGUUCCACAGUAGGAGAUGGUCAAUCCCAAGACUGAAGACCAACUACUGUAGCCAUUCUCAGCAACAGCUUCAACCAUGAAGACGGAGCUUUCUCACCGCGAUCAAGGCGCGGAUUUCGGAUUGCUUAAACCGAAACGUUAUUGGGUCCUUACUCAAUAUUGCUAAGUCUUUCGUUCUCAUUUUACUUGUUAAUUUCUCCGCUCCUGUUACACAUUUCUCCUUUCCCCCUUUGGCUCUCAUUAAUUCCCUCUAUUUUCUCUUUCAAGGAUCUUUUAUGCUCACUGUCUCUUUCCAGUGGAAACGAAUAUCGGUUCAUAACUUGUUUAUUAGUAUCGGAUCUGGGUUUUGCUUUGGAAUUGUAAAUUUUGAAGAAGGUAGAAUUUGUUUUCACGUCGCGUUGGUUCUCCACCUCCACCUCUCUCUUCUGUUACUGAGGCCUUUGAUCUCCUGUAGAAAGAUUUUGAAGAGAGAAUUCCAGAUGAGAAUCAAAUCCAAGUUUCUGUUUCAGCUUCAUUGGGCCUUUUGGCUGAAGGGGGACUAUGUAUAGUUUAGCUUCUAUAACAGUGAUGCAAGGUAAAUGAUGGGGAAAUCCCCAUCAACGAUCUAUCAUUAAACAAUCAAUGUGUGACCAGAAUUUUACCUACAUUUCAUCACCUCCCUUAUGUUUUAUUUCCUUUAUAAAAGAAUGGUAGGCCUUCUCUAUGCCUUUCCCAAGUGCACUACCACAGGAAAAGUUCAGAUGCUCCUGACUCCCAUAUCCCACUCCCCUUUUCCUAGCCAUGCCUUGCAGUGGUUACUUUCCUCUUAACUCUUAAGAGCCUCAGGUUUUUCACUGGAAUAUGUGUAGGACUGGCCAAUGUUGCAAUAUCUUGUUUAAUGAAUCUCCACUGUUAGGUUUUUCUUUUUGGGUGGGUCUCAGAUAGAAUGUUAAAGUUUGUGUGUGUGUGUAAGAGAGAGAGAGAUUAAUUAGUAUUUAUGGCUCCAUGCAUCAAUACUUCUGCUUAUUUUCCCCAUGUUUUCCGGUUUUGCAUUGGCCCCUCCAUGUUUUAUAGAUGACCCUUGCCCCAAUCUCUGAAAGCAGUUCUAAAUCAUUUCUUCAAAUUAUCCACUGGAAAAAUGCCUUUACUGCACCUCAAGUUUAAAAAGGAUGAAAUGCUUCCUAUUUCAAUUUUUUUAGGAAGCAUUUGAUAACAGCUGAAGUGGAUGAACUGAAUGGCUUUUUUUCUUCGUCUUUUAGUGAAUAGUUCCUCAUUAAGGAGGUUGUGAACUCCAUAAUGCCUGAAACUAAAGUUGGGUCAAGUACCAUAACCUCAAAUAUUUCAUUAUUUAAUUAUUUUAUCCACUAAAACACAAGGCAACCCCUUGUGUUUGGUUCAGCCAUUUAAACUGUUAUCAACCAUCCCUUUAGUUUAGAACUCCUUGUUUUUCAGUUUUUCUUUCACCUUUUUACUUCAAAAGCAAUUUCAUUUUGAAGCAUGGCAUUGCCAAUGACAAUGAGAGCAGUUUCUGAACCUUCCACCUCCUUGAUCUAAGCCAGCAUUUACAGAAUCUUCAAAAAAAAUAAAAAAAUAAUAAUAACAAAACUGAUUUUCCUUCGUUCUUCUUUUAAAGAACUAACAAUUCCUAUGGAAGUCUGGUUUUCACUAACUAUUUCUUCUUCUUCUUCUUUUAAAACUUUUGAAACCCAUUUUCUUAUAAUGUUUUUCAGCGUCAUUUCUAUUACGUCUAUCAUGGAUUUUUAAAUAAAGAGGCUAGUUCUGUAUUGCUGCUAAUGCUAUAUUGGGUUCUGUUGUUUUGCUCUUGUGCA